UGAGGAAUAUUGGUCAAUGGGCGGAAGCCUGAACCAGCCAUGCCGCGUGCAGGAAGACGGCCCUACGGGUUGUAAACUGCUUUUCUGCGGGAAGAACGGCCCCUACGUGUGGGGGUGUGACGGUACCGCAGGAAUAAGGAUCGGCUAACUCCGUGCCAGCAGCCGCGGUAAUACGGAGGAUCCGAGCGUUAUCCGGAUUUACUGGGUUUAAAGGGUGCGUAGGCGGCUCCCUCAGUCAGCGGUGAAAUGUGUCGGCUCAACCGCCAACCUGCCGUUGAUACGGGUGAGCUUGAGUUGGGUUGAGGCAGGCGGAAUGUGCGGUGUAGCGUUGAAAUGCACAGAUAUCGCACAGAACGCCGAUUGCGUAGGCAGCUUGCCAAGCCCACACUGACGCUGAGGCACGAAAGCGUGAGGAUCAAACA
rnacentral:rRNA from 1 species